GGGGAAUAUUGGGCAAUGGGCGAAAGCCUGACCCAGCAACGCCGCGUGAAGGAAGAAGGCUUUCGGGUUGUAAACUUCUUUGACGAGGGAUGAAUAAAUGACAGUACCUCGAAAACAAGCCACGGCUAACUACGUGCCAGCAGCCGCGGUAAUACGUAGGUGGCAAGCGUUGUCCGGAUUUACUGGGUGUAAAGGGCGUGUAGGCGGGUUGUCAAGUCAGAUGUGAAAUCUAUGGGCUUAACCCAUAACGUGCAUUUGAAACUGACAGUCUUGAGUGAUGGAGAGGCAGGCGGAAUUCCUAGUGUAGCGGUGAAAUGCGUAGAUAUUAGGAGGAACACCAGUGGCGAAGGCGGCCUGCUGGACAUUAACUGACGCUGAGGCGCGAAAGCGUGGGGAGCAAAC
rnacentral:rRNA from 1 species